UACGUAGGGUGCGAGCGUUGUCCGGAAUUACUGGGCGUAAAGAGCUCGUAGGUGGUUUGUCGCGUUGUCCGUGAAAACUUACAGCUUAACUGUGAGCGUGCUUUCGAUACGGGCAGACUUGAGGCAUUCAGGGGAGAACGGAAUUCCUGGUGUAGCGGUGAAAUGCGCAGAUAUCGUAAGGAAGACCAGUGGCGAAGGCGGCUCACUGGCCCGAUACCGACGCUGAGGCACGAAAGCGUGGGGAGCAAACAGG
rnacentral:rRNA from 1 species